ACAACAACCACACCACUUCUGCUUUCACUGCGCUGCACUGAUUUGAAUAAAUAACAAUCUAAAAAGAAAUGCCGUAGCUCGGUGCCCCUCCUGUGACACCUGGACACAGUUCCGGAUUUAUUCACAGUGACCGCAGCACAAAUCUCCGCAGCCUUCCGCCGACUUCAAACGGGCGCUCGCCCCUGGAGCCUGAUAAACCAACGAGGCACUGCAGCAGGACAGAGGAUUCACUUUGUUCCUAUCAGCUGAGUCAUUCAGAGGGAAAACAAAGAAGAGCUUUGAAGAAAUGAACAUACAAGUGUCAUAAGUGUACUGAGGAAUGGGGAGCCUGAAGUGAUGGAGAUUCCAGAGGCAAGCCUCGCAGAUGAGCAGGCUCCCACAUCUCCAGACCGAGGACUCCUCCAUGUUUGGCAUUCAGCGGGCCACAGCAGGCAGCUCUGUCCAGAUAGGGUGCUGCUGUCCAGGCCCGUGCUGCAGGUCUCCCUGGGGGAACACCACGGCCUCCUGCUCGCACAGGGUGGUCAGGUGUAUUCAUUUGGAGAGCUUUUAUGGAGGGAUCUGAGCGUCCCCGUGUCUGCUCCGGUGCCAGAGGUCUCUCUGCUGGGAAAGACGGUGGUCCGUGUGGCUGCUGGCGGCUUCCACUGCGGUGCACUGAGCGAGCAGGGUAGCGUCUACAUGUGGGGGGAGAAUACUGCAGGACAGUGUGGGCAAACAGAGAAGGGUACAGUCACAAACAUCACCGUUCCAGAGCCUUGUCCUGUCAUCGUGGUGGACGGUGAGGUCGUUCCUCCAGUGGUGGUUCGAAUUGUGGACCUUGCCUGUGGACGGGAACACAGCCUGGCUCUGUCAGCUCAGAACGAGCUGUGGGCGUGGGGUAGUGGCUGCCAACUCGGCCUGGUCACCAACACCUUCCCUGUGGGGAAACCACAGAAGGUGGAACACUUGGCAGGCAGACAUGUGAUUCAGGUGGCCUGCGGUGCAUACCACAGCCUGGCUCUUGUCCGCAGGUUACCUCCUCAGGACUAUAAUACCCAGCAUGCCCCUAAGAAGAAGGAGCGAGGCCAGUCACCCCACUACUCGGUGACAGAAAGGGAGGAGCUCUCAGCAGUUGAGGAUUCUCAUUACUGCCCACUCGGAGUGGAGUUAACUGAAGUGAUGAAAGGAGAGACGUCUUUCCAAGUUCGAGGACCCAGACGAAGGCUCCGGGCUGGAGCAACAUCAGCAAGCAGCAGUCCUGGUUCUGAUGACAGCAAAUCUAACACUAAACACCCAACCCUUGAAUCUCAGGGUCAAACUGACAGUGUAACAGAGACUGACGGCAGCCCAAAAGUGCACUUGCUGUCAGGCUGGAGAACCAACAAGAACUUCUCUGAAGACCUGGAGUUGCAAAAUCUCCUUGAGGAACUCUCUGAUCAGUCAUUAGAUAAACAAGACACUGACUCACUGAGCAGCCACACCUCAGACGACAGCUGCAUUUCCUCAACUCCUUCCUCUGACCUGCUGACUUCCAGUUACAAAGAUGACUUAAAUACAAAGAGACAAAUGCACAAUAACAGUGGACUGUCUGGGUCACACUCCUCUUCCCCAGUGUGUCUGAAUGAAGUUCGACUCUGUCUGGAGAAGGAAAAGCCGUCCCUGCAGGGACUGAAGAGCUCUAGUCUCACAAACAUACACCAGAAGGGGAAAACGGCAACGAGCAGGAGAAGCUCGCUUCCUGGAACACCCACCCACGGGUCUCCUCGGAGGCGACACCCUUGUGCUUGCAGGCCGUCCUCAGCUGGUGGGGCUCCGGCUGGAGCACCAGAGGAGGCAGAAGAUGGCCUGCCAUUUCUGGAGACAGAGAUUUGGAGCUGGGGCCGUGGCUCUGAGGGACAACUUGGUCAUGGAGAUCAGCUCGCCAGACUCCAGCCUCUAUGCAUCAAGUCUUUAACAGGUGAAGAAGUGAUCAAAGUUGCUGCAGGCUCACACCAUUCACUGGCUCUCACUGCUCAGUGCCAGGUGUACUCAUGGGGCAGCAACAUGUGUGGACAACUCGGCCACGUGAACAGCCCCGUCACUGUCCCUCAGCAGGCGAAGCUGUCUGAUGGGCUUCGUGUUUGGGACUUGUCAGCCGGUCAGAGCCACACCCUGCUCCUGGCUGAUGGAGACUGUGUGCAGCCAGUCCUGUUGUACUGCGGCCAACAGAAGGAGCCAGUGCAAACUGAGAGGCUAAACCAGAGUGAAAGCUCAAGCAAGAGGUCACCCAACAGAGUGGAGCGUUAUACAGUCAUGCCCACCCUGCUGCCCUUCUGCAUUGAGAUGGGUUACGUUAGCAGUGUGUGCAGUGGAGGUCAGAGCUGUGCGGUGCUGGCAGACCACAAUGUCAUGGGUUUUAUUUCGGCUAUCCACGAGCUGGCCUCCAGAGAGAGGCACUUGUACUGUUGGUGCAGCAGCGUCAGGAAGAUCCUCCUCACCCCUCUGCGUAAAAGAGAAAGUUUGUGUCCAGUGUUGGGUGAGCAGUGCUCUCAUCUCUUCUUCUCUCUGUGUGAGAGUUUUGUUCAGCUGAGCACCCUGAUUGGCCAACAUGCCACAGCACUCACCUACUUCCUGCAUAACGUGCAGGGCUGUGAUGUCACUACCCUUCCCCUGCUGACACACACAGAGUAUUUCAUUGACACAUACAAAAGGUUUUUUUCUUCACUUGGUGAUUUCCAAGUAAUGGGCGGAUUCCAACCACUUCACAAACUCUCGCUUGAGAGUUUAGGCUUUCGGCAGACUUUGCUCACUCAGCUGUCCGUAUCAGAUCAGUCAGCCAGUGGUGAUGUUGAUCUGGUUUCAAUGUUGUACUGGCCUCUGCAGCAGCUCCACCAGUACAGCCGAGCCCUGCUCAAACUGGCGGCCUGCUAUGAUGUGUUAACUGUGGAGUAUAAGUCCCUUGAUCAGGGUCAUAAAGAUUGCGAGUCCCUGUCUUCAUCACUGCUAAGAAGGAAGAAGGAGGCUGAAACCACCUUCCUGUUCUGGAAGACCCACUCUGGCAAAACUACUGAGUGCCUGCGUCUUCCUAGGCGUCGUGUGGUCUGUGAAAGCAGCAACCGAUCUCUGACUCCGCAGAACGCCGGGCGGUUCUCAAAUCACUGGUUCAUAUUGUUCAAUGACGCCCUGGUGCACACACAGGGUACAAUUCCCUCUCAGAGCUUCUUCUCCACUCAUCACGUCUACCCUCUGACCUGUUUGUGGGUGAAACCGGUCACUGAAAACGGCAGCGGACUUCAUGCCCUCAAAAUAACAUGUCCAGAGGAGAGUUUCACCCUGGUGGCCUCAACACCGCAGGAAAAGAACAAGUGGUUACGAUCUCUUAACCAGACAGUGGAUCAGAUACUGGGCGGCGGAGGUCAGGGGUCGUCACCAGCAAUGACUCGCACGGCCUCCUACACGUUCACGGCAGACGAACGGUUCAAAGAUGCUCAGUACACCGGGAGCUGGUUGGCAGGACGGGUUCAUGGCAGAGGAACCAUGAAGUGGCCGGAUGGGCGACUGUACAAGGGGAACUUCAAGAAUGGACUGGAGGAUGGCUAUGGAGAUUGUGUGAUCCCUAAUAAACUACUGAAUAAAACCGACACCUACCAAGGACAGUGGAGAGAGGGCAAGAUCCAUGGUUUUGGCAAGUACAAGUAUGCAAGUGGCGAGGUGUACGAGGGCUGUUUCUGCGAUGGGCAGCGGCACGGUUACGGCAUGCUGAGCUCUGGGAAACUGGCGAGGAAUUCCUCCAGUGUUUUCAUCGGGCAGUGGGUCCACGACAAGAAGACAGGAUAUGGCGUCUACGAUGACAUCACAAGAGGUGAGAAGUACAUGGGCAUGUGGCUGGAUGACCAGCGGCAUGGUAGUGCGGUCGUCAUCACGCAGCACAGUGUGUACUUUGAAGGAACUUUCAGAGAGAACAAAAUGAGCGGUCCGGGUUUGCUGAUGUCAGACGAUGACACAGUUUUUCAUGGGGAGUUCACUGACGACUGGACCAUCAGUGGGAAGGGGAUUUUAACCAUGCCUAAUGGUGACAGUCUGGACGGCCAGUUCAGUGGAGAGUGGAGCUCAGGGCUGAAGGUGGUUGGAACGUACACAAAGCCAGGCAUUGUUGAACCUCCAAACAAGGAGAAGAACGGCCUGAGCAGACUGGGUCAGUACGCCGUGCCGGCAGAUCAGAGGUGGAUCUGUGUGUUUGAUGAAUGUUGGAGUCGGCUUGGCUGCGACGCUGCUGGGAAAGGAGAGAGGACGACGGCCUGGGAGAACAUCGCUGUUACAAUAACAACUGCACGACGGCAGAGCCCAGACCUCAGCAGGUCUCAGACCAAAGUCCUGGAGUGUCUGGAGUUUAUUCCUCAGUAUGAAGAACCUGUCACUGCAGCAAACUACGACAACAUACGAAGAUACCUCACCAAGGCAUGUGAGACCCCCCACCACCCUCUAGGCUGGCUGCUGGAGACGUUGGUGACAGCGUACAGAAUGACGUACGUCGGUGUGGGAUCAAACCGCAGGCUGCUCAGGCAGGCGGUCCAAGAGGUCCUGGCCUACCUCACGCAUUUCUACGGCGUCAUCAGGUUUUUAUUCCCAGGAUUACCGGACGAUGGCAGCGUCCUCCCAGAUGCCCCCACCUCUCCAUCUAAGAGCAGACGCAACUCUUACACAACAGGGCAUGGCUGUGUUAUGGUGGUGAGCUCCUCCUCUCUCCUCCUCCCUCUGCUGCUCCCUCGACUCUAUCCUCCUCUCUUUACUCUGUACUCCCUGCAGGAGGAGCAGGAGGAAACUGAGUACUGGGAGCGCAUCCUCCGACUCAACAAACAGCCUGACCAAUCGCUGCUCAGCUUCCUGGAAGUGCAGGAGAAGUUCUGGCCGCUGUGGAUGUCAAUUCUUGGGGAGAAAAAGCAGAUUGUGUCCAGCAGCAAAGACGCCUGUUUUGUUUCUGCUGUAGAAACACUCCAGCAGAUCAGCACCAGAUUCACUCCGUCAGACAAGCUGAUGGUGAUCCAGAAGUCGUUUGAGGAGCUGACCCUGGAGGUGAAACCUCUGCUGCAUGGUGACUUCCUCUGGUGCAUGGAUGAUCUGUUCCCACUCUUCCUUUAUGUGGUGCUCAGAGCCAGGAUCCGAAACCUGGGAGCUGAAAUCAGCCUCAUAGAAGAUAUGAUGGAUCCCAACAUUCAGCACGGAGAGCUGGGACUGAUGUUCACAACACUAAAGGCCUGUUACAUCCAGAUCCAGCGGGAGACGAACACGUAGGAGACAGGAGGAUGCCACGCGCUGACAGGAAGUGCCAUAACCAAACCGAAGCUGCAUCGAGGCUGCAGACGUGCACAGCAAAGGGAAUGUGGGAGCUAAACCUCUGAGCAGGAGGAGAAUAUCAUCUUCAGAUCCAGGAACGCCGAGUUUUCUGGGCUUUAGUUUACUUCCACGUUCAGCCGGCGAAAGUCUGCAAAAGGAAUCUGCAUCUGUCAUCUGUCAUGUUUUUGUAUCAAGCUGCAUGAAAGGAACAUUUCAGGGUUUUUCUUUUGUUUUUGGGUUUCUGUUUGUGUGUUUUAUUUUGUUUUAUGUUAUUAAGAAAAGCAACUUUGCAACAUUUCCAAAAAGUUUGACAGCAAAGUUCAUGAACAUCUCAGUUCAGAGAAAAUGGUGCGCACAUUCACGUCAUAAUUGUUACUGUGUGUGUUUUAAUGCAGAUCCAGAUUUUUUUAAAAACACAUUUGUCCAGCUAGUUAAUGAAACUUUUAGGUUGUUUUGAUCCCUUGAAGCUGACUCAGAAUAAUAUUUUUUUUAAUGUUGUGUCCUUGUGUGUUCAAGGAAAAAAAUAAGACAUGAGGGAGUUUUGUCACUUUAAAAUGAUUUUCUUAUUUAUUUAUGAUUGGAAUACAGUUUAAAUUAAUGAUAUUGAUUAUAAAUUAUGAAGACUUACCACAAACCUGCACAGGAUCCAUCUAAAUUUGAGUGAGCUGAGGACUGUGAUGCUUUUGUAUCAUCGAGACUGACGACGACUUGUAAUUUCAGUGUUACUGAAAGCUGCACUGUAUUCACUGCCACCUCCACCAUGUUUUUAUUUUUGGCAGAGUCACUUAAACCUGUGUUCUGAUUUAGUUUUUUAAAAAUACUACAAGCAAUGGAGUGAGAGUUGCUGAGAGUUCAUGGUGUAAAGCCUGAGCCGUGAAAUAAUUGACCCUUUUUGAAACUGGUGUGUUUAUUGAAUCUAUUGCUUUAAAAAAAUUAAAUAGCAGUUUAUAAAUGAUUUGUGUGAUUGUCAGUCACACUGAUUAUGUACAGAUCUCAUGUAUCUCAUGUAUGUAUCAAAUAUGAUACAGUCUGUGUUACAGGGUUAAAUCUUUGGACCUAUCAGGUUCAAGGAGAGAGAGCCUCAGCCAAAUAUCAACACUGUCUUCAGCUCUCAGACUGACUUUUGUUGAUUUGAGAUAAAUGAAAAGUUUCUCUGAGAAUCGUAAUGCACUGUACAGCAGCUCUCCGGCUUCAUGCAUUUCAUAAAGAGAAGCCAGUGUCUGCCUAGAUGGAAGAAACCAUUAGAGGAAAAUAAAGUAAUUAAAACUGAUGAGCUAACAUGUAAAACAUGUUUCAGACUAGGAAGCAUCUUUGAGGUGAUUAUUUUUUUCUAACUGGGUGCAUAUUUUUGUAACCUUGUAGAAAGAGUUGAUUUGGGGGGAAAUGAUUGAUGAAUGUCGAGUAAAGACUGAUUUCAGAUGUUUAUUUUUAAAAAAGGCAAUAAAUUUAUUUUAACUCUG